rnacentral:lncRNA from 1 species
GCCUGUUGUCAUGGUUGCAAAUUAUGCAGAUAUGCUGCCCUGUUCUUGGUUUAGUCCACACCUAUUCCUAGAACUAGAGGUGUACGUGCUCUUCUUAGUUUUCUAUUUUUUUUUUUAGGUACAAUAUGGUACAUUUGAACGAUUGGUUACGCUACUUAUUUUCCCAUUGAGGCCGAACCUAAACCUGUGCUCGAGAGAUAGCUGUCCAUAAUUGAUAAGGGAUGUAUGAAUUCUCGAGAAGAGUGACCCACUUAUGCGACUUUUGGGUUAUUAGGUUGAUGGAUCGCUGGAGCGCCAGAAUGAUUCACUCCCAUGGUUCGAUCCUUCCCAGUAAAACGCGGCGUGUUUGAAUUCUGAUCGCUUUUACGCGAGGCUAGACAGCUCAAGAU